GAAUAUUGGACAAUGGGCGAAAGCCUGCUCCAGCCAUGCCGCGUGUGUGAAGAAGGUCUCCGGACUGUAAAGCACUUUAAGUUGUGAGGAAGGGCAGUAAGCGAAUCCCUUGCUGUUUUGACGUUACCGACCGAAUAAGCACCGGCUACCUCCGUGCCAGCAGCCGCGGUAAUACAGAGGGUGCACGCGUUAAUCGGAAUUGCUGGGCGUAAAGCGCGCGUAGGUGGUUCGUUAAGGUGGAUGUGAAAUCCCCGGGCUCAACCUGGGAACUGCAUCCAAAACUGGCGAGCUAGAGUAGGGCAGAGGGUGGUGGAAUUUCCUGUGUAGCGGUGAAAUGCGUAGAUAUAGGAAGGAACACCAGUGGCGAAGGCGACCACCUGGGCUCAUACUGACACUGAGGUGCGAAAGCGUGGGGUGCAAACAG
rnacentral:rRNA from 1 species